UACCAGCACCCCGAGUGGUCGGUACGAUUAUUGGGCCUAAAGCAUCCGUAGCCGGUUUUACAAGUCCUCCGUUAAAUCCAGCUGCUUAACAGAUGGGCUGCGGAGGAUACUAUAAGACUAGGAGGCAGGAGAGGCAAGCGGUACUCAGUGGGUAGGGGUAAAAUCCGUUGAUCCAUUGAAGACCACCAGUGGCGAAGGCGGCUUGCCAGAAUGCGCUCGACGGUGAGGGAUGAAAGCUGGGGGAGCAAACCGG
rnacentral:rRNA from 1 species